rnacentral:rRNA from 1 species
GAUGAACGCUAGCUACAGGCUUAACACAUGCAAGUCGAGGGGAAACGAUAUUGGAAGCUUGCUUCCGAUAGGCGUCGACUGGCGCACGGGUGAGUAACGCGUAUCCAACCUGCCCACCACUUGGGGAUAACCUUGCGAAAGUAAGACUAAUACCCAAUGACGUCUCUAGAAGACAUCUGAAAGAGAUUAAAGAUUUAUCGGUGAUGGAUGGGGAUGCGUCUGAUUAGCUUGUUGGCGGGGUAACGGCCCACCAAGGCUACGAUCAGUAGGGGUUCUGAGAGGAAGGUCCCCCACAUUGGAACUGAGACACAGUCCAAACUCCUACGGGAGGCAGCAGUGAGGAAUAUUGGUCAAUGGGCGAGAGCCUGAACCAGCCAAGUAGCGUGCAGGAUGACGGCCCUAUGGGUUGUAAACUGCUUUUAUAAGGGAAUAAGGUGAGUCUCGUGAGACUUUUUGCAUGUACCUUAUGAAUAAGGACCGGCUAAUUCCGUGCCAGCCGCCGCCGUAA